rnacentral:rRNA from 1 species
GGUUAAGCAAGAAAGAGCACAGGGAGGAUGCCUUGGCACUGAGAGCCGAAGAAAGACGUGAUAAGCUGCGAAAAGCUGCGGGGAGGAGCAAAUAUCCUACGAUCCGCAGAUAUCUGAAUGGGGAAACCCACAUAAGAAGACCUUAUGUAUCCUUACGUAAAUACAUAGCGUAAGGAAGGGAACCCGGUGAACUGAAACAUCUAAGUAGCCGGAGGAGAAGAAAACAACCGUGAUUUCCGAAGUAGCGGCGAGCGAACCGGAAAGAGCCCAAACCGGAGUGCGUGCACUCCGGGGUUCGGACUGCAUAGUCUGAUUCGAAGAAGGGAGCAGAAUGGUCCUGGAAAGACCAGCCAGAGAGGGUGAAAGCCCCGUAAGCGAACCCGGAAGCGACAGCGCAGGAUCCAGAGUACCACGAGACACGAGAAACCUUGUGGGAAUGAGCGGGGACCACCCCGUAAGGCUAAAUACUCCUCAGUGACCGAUAGUGUAUAGUACUGUGAAGGAAAGGUGAAAAGGACCCCGGGAGGGGAGUGAAAGAGAACCUGAAACCCUGUGUUUACAAGCUGUGGGACCACGUUAAGGUGGGACCGCGUACUUUUUGUAGAACGGUCCGGCGAGUUGCGGAUACUGGCAAGGUUAAGCACUUAAGGUGUGGAGCCGAAGGGAAACCGAGUCUUAACAGGGCGCCAAACGUCAACUUAGUUGACGCCAUAGUCAGUAUGUGCAGACCCGAAACCGGGUGAUCUAUCCAUGUCCAGGUUGAAGUUGCCGUAAAAGGCAAUGGAGGACCGAACCCACAUCCGUUGAAAAGGGUGGGGAUGAGGUGUGGAUAGGGGAGAAAUUCCAAUCGAACCCGGAGAUAGCUGGUUCUCCUCGAAAUAGCUUUAGAAAUUUAGCCUCGUAUGAAUCUGGCGGAGGUAGAGCACUGAAUACCCUAGGGGGCGUCAAAGCUUACCGAAGGUUAUCAAACUCCGAAUGCCGUACAGAUGUUAUACGGGAGUCAGACUGCACGAGAUAAGUUGGGCAGUCAAAAGGGAAAGAGCCCAGACCUACAGCUAAGGUCCCAAAGUGUGUGUUAAGUGGAAAAGGAUGUGGGAUUUCAAAGACAACUAGGAUGUUGGCUCAGAAGCAGCCAUCCAUUCAAAGAGUGCGUAAUAGCUCACUAGUCGAGAGGUCCUGCGCCGAAAAUGUCCGGGGCUGAAACACACCACCGAAGCUUAGGAAGCAUGCGUAAGGCAUGCUUGGUAGAGGAGCAUUGCUGAAGCGAAGAAGCGGUACCGUGAGGAGCCGUGGAGUUUCAGGAAGAGAGAAUGCCGGAAUGAGUAGCGAGAAAGAGGUGAGAAUCCUCUUGGCCGAAUAUCCAAGGAUUCCAGGGUAAAGCUGAUCUGCCCUGGGUAAGUCGGGGCCUAAGGCGAGGCAGAAAUGCGUAGUCGAUGGAUAACAGGUGGAAAUUCCUGUACUGCAGGAUGACAGAACUGUAGGGACGCAUGUGGAAAGCAUGGGCCGGAAAAGGAAAAGCCGGUGCAAGCGAAGUAGGAGAUAAGGAGGCAAAUCCCUUAUCGAUCCAAAGGCGUGAUGCGGAGCGAAAUGAAGUAGCGAAGCAUGCGGGCCAUGUGCCAAGAAAAGCUGCUAUUGUUCGUCCUGUACCCGUACCGUAAACCGACACAGGUGGAUGAGGAGAGAAUCCUAAGGCCGGCGGGAGAAGCAUUGUUAAGGAACUCGGCAAAAUGACCCCGUAACUUCGGGAGAAGGGGUGCCCCAGAGAUGGGGCCGCAGAGAAUAGGCUCAAGCAACUGUUUAGCAAAAACACAGGUCUAUGCAAAACCGGAAGGUGAAGUAUAUGGGCUGACGCCUGCCCGGUGCUGGAAGGUUAAGAGGAGAGGUCAACUAACGUGAAGCCUUGAAUUUAAGCCCCAGUAAACGGCGGCCGUAACUAUAACGGUCCUAAGGUAGCGAAAUUCCUUGUCGGGUAAGUUCCGACCCGCACGAAAGGCGUAAUGAUUUGAGCGCUGUCUCAACAAUGCACCCGGUGAAAUUGAAGUACCAGUGAAGAUGCUGGUUACCUGCGCCAGGACGGAAAGACCCCAUGGAGCUUUACUCCAGCUUGAUACUGGGAUUCGAUGCUGUAUGUACAGGAUAGGUGGGAGGCAAAGAAGUAGAGACGCCAGUCUCUAUGGAGCCGCUGUUGGGAUACCACCCUUACCGUAUUGGAUUUCUAACCGAGAGCCAUGAAACUGGUUCCGGGACAAUGUCUGGCGGGGAGUUUGACUGGGGCGGUCGCCUCCGAAAGGGUAUCGGAGGCGCUCAAAGGUUCCCUCAGAAUGGUCGGAAACCAUUCGCAGAGUGCAAAGGCAUAAGGGAGCUUGACUGUGACACCGACGGGUGGAGCAGGUAGGAAACUAGGACUUAGUGAUCCGGUGGUAUAACGUGGGAUUGCCAUCGCUCAACGGAUAAAAGCUACCCUGGGGAUAACAGGCUUAUCACUCCCAAGAGUUCACAUCGACGGAGUGGUUUGGCACCUCGAUGUCGGCUCAUCGCAUCCUGGGGCUGUAGAAGGUCCCAAGGGUUGGGCUGUUCGCCCAUUAAAGCGGUACGCGAGCUGGGUUCAGAACGUCGUGAGACAGUUCGGUCCCUAUCCGGCGCAGGCGUAGGAUAUUUAAGAGGAGCUGUCCUUAGUACGAGAGGACCGGGAUGGACGGACCGCUGGUGUAUCUGUUAGGUACCAGACCUAUGGCAGAGUAGCCAAGUCCGGCAGGGAUAAACGCUGAAGGCAUCUAAGCGUGAAGCCCCCCUCAAGAUGAGAUAUCCCCAUGAAUUAAUCAUGGUAAGACCCCUUGUAGAGCACGAGGUAGAUAGGCUUAAGGUGGAAGCGUAGCAAUACGUGCAGCUGAUAAGUACUAAUCGGUCGAGGGCUUAUCCUU